rnacentral:tRNA from 1 species
GGGCCCAUAGCUCAGCUGGUAGAGCUCCCGGCUCAUAACCGGUUGGUCCCUGGUUCGAAUCCAGGUGGGCCCA